UACAGAGGGUGCUAGCGUUAAUCGGAAUUACUGGGCGUAAAGCGCACGUAGGUGGUAAUGUAAGUCAGAUGUGAAAUCCCCGGGCUUAACCUGGGAACUGCAUUUGAAACUGUAUAACUAGAGUAGGGUAGAGGAGAGGGGAAUUUCCGGUGUAGCGGUGAAAUGCGUAGAUAUCGGAAGGAACACCAGUGGCGAAGGCGCCUCUCUGGAUUCAUACUGACACUGAGGUGCGAAAGCGUGGGGAGCAAACAGG
rnacentral:rRNA from 1 species